rnacentral:tRNA from 3 species
CGGGGUGUAGCGCAGUCCGGUUAGCGCAUCUGCUUUGGGAGCAGAGGGUCGAAGGUUCGAAUCCUUUCACCCCGACGA